UACGUAGGGGGCAAGCGUUUGUCCGGAUUUAUUGGGCGUAAAGAGCUCGUAGGUGGUUCGGUAAGUCGGGUGUGAAACCUCCAGGCUCAACCUGGUGACGCCACCCGAUACUGCCGUGACUUGAGUUCGGUAGGGGAGCGGGGAAUUCCUGGUGUAGCGGUGAAAUGCGCAGAUAUCAGGAGGAACACCGGUGGCGAAGGCGCCGCUCUGGGGCCGAAACUGACGCUGAGGAGCGAAAGCGUGGGGAGCGAACAGG
rnacentral:rRNA from 1 species